rnacentral:rRNA from 1 species
GACGUAGGGCGCGAGCGUUGUCCGGAUUUAUUGGGCGUAAAGAGCUCGUAGGCGGCUCGUUGCGUCGGCUGUGAAAACCCGCAGCUCAACUGUGGGCUUGCAGCUGAUACGGGCGGGCUGGAGUUCGGUAGGGGAGACUGGAAUUCCUGGUGUGAGCGGUGGAAAUGACGCAGAUAUCAGGAGGAACACCGGUGGCGAAGGCGGGUCUCUGGGCCGAUACUGACGCUGAGGAGCGAAAGCGUGGGGAGCGAACAGG